UGCUCCAGAAACUAAAGCUAGCCCUCUGUUAAGAACCACACACUGGUUCAUUGUACUGAAUAUAGGUAUAUAUGCUACAAGCUAUCUUGACUCUACAUUUAAUGGAGAGUUACCCAACACUAUUCAUGACAUCAUGUAAACAAAUGCUGAUAAUAGCCAGGUGAGAUGAACCCUCUGUCCCUCAAUUUUUUUCAUAGAUCAUGGACAGAACUGAAGAAUGAAAACUAGUCAGCAAGACCUGAGUGGCUACACUGGCUAAGAAAAAUAAGAAAAUAAGAAAGAAAAUCCCAGAUUCAUUAUUACUGUUUGCUCAGGAAGGAAAUGUUUAAAGAGGAAAGAAGACAAAAUGCAUUUGGCAUUAUGGGAAUCACAUUUUCAAUACUACCAUCCAAUCAUAUUCUACAAAGCCCUUCCACCAGAAAAGGCUGUCAGCUAUUCAGUCCUUUUUUCAGGCUGUGGGACUGGCAGGCAGCAACCACUUCAUAGCCCCCUCCUGCAUUGCUGCUCACUGACCUCCAUGGGUGCAGACAUGCAUUGUGCUGCAAGGCCUCAGCCCCCAGAACCGAUGGAGCCAAUAUUUUCCCAAAGAUGCACAGGGUAAGAAGAGAGGCAAAUAACAAAAGCUGCAGCAAGGAAGGAUCAAGAAAUUCAUCUCUCUGGCACACCCCCCAGAAAUGCAGCAGUGGAGCAGGUCACCCAGAAAAGUUCUACAUGCUCCAUCCUUGGAAGUUUUCAAGAUAAAGCCCUGACCCCAGAUCUGGCCUUAUUUCAGUAGAGACCUCAUGAGGUCCCUUCCAAUCAGUUACUAAAGCUGUCUUUAAUUUUUCUAUUGCUGGGUGGAAACUAAUUAUUAUCUACAAAAACUAGCGCUAAAGUCAGAUUGGGUAGAAAGUACUGUUACUAUUACUGAAUUCAGGUUAAGCAUUUUGCUCAAUGAUUGACCACUUAGUGUUUGUACUGCUGUUGGGCAGGUAUUGCUGGUUUCAUAUAUAGCCUUACACAUACAGAUUAUGCUUGCCAGUCAUACCCUGGAGCCAUGCCCACAGGCAGAUGAAUUACACUACAUUAUAUGACAACUAAUCCUCUUCAGGAAGUAAAACAAAUAGCUUCAAAAGUGAAUAAUACUUUAUAUUCUUUCAUAAAGCACCCAUAAUUUAUUGCAACUAAAGUGAAAAUUUAGCACCAAAAGCAUUCCAUAGGGAUAUCACAAUAAAAUUAUCUUUCACAUCAUGUCGUAACUCAGCCAUGAUGUAUAUUGUGUGAGCUGUACCAAGGCUGUCUGAUGAUUUUUGCUUCCUCCAUCAGCAACAGCAAAAAAAUACAAUUCCAAAUUGUAUGCACAGGUAUUAGAUGGAAAACCAGAUUUAGAUUUUAUUCUUUCCCACUGCUUAUUUUUCUACUUACAGAUUUUCUUUAACAAUGAAAGAAUUGUAAAAGUCUCAGACACUGAAGGAAUAAGCUGCUCAAAAAACCUAUGUUUUUCUUACUAUAAAAACAUCUCAUACGGAUACACCAAGGUGAGGAAAAAAUAUUAAAGGAAACAAAAAUCAUUAGAAAUAUUGAUGUGACAGAUUAUUGUGUAUCAUACCUGAAUUCUUAACACAUUUAUCGAAAAAAACACAGGCUGUGUUUGCACUGUCAACUAAGACAGCAGUAAGGAAUAAAUAAGCAGUAAAUGACAGCCUGAGCUGAAACCUGAUCCCCCAUUUCCAGGGAAAAAGCUAACGAUCAGUGUGCUAUUUGGACUUGAGUCCAGCUGAGACUGGACUGUAGCCACCACCUUUUCUUUUUAGUUUCUGAGUUUCAGCUGGGCUGCAGCAGGUAACAGCAUUAGAGCUCAGCUCUAACAGUCAGCAUCAGAACGAAGGAAGGAAAAGUGCUGUGCUCUGCUCUGGUCCCAGGGGGCUCCUGCCUCCCAGCUGAGCUUGAAGCACGGCUAUGUGCCUGUAUAUCUCCCCUCUGUUUUGGGGACCUGAUGACUGAGAGCUUCCCUUCACAGCUGAUGCCUCCCAGGAACAGAAGGGGAGAAAUGCCUGUCUCUCAGAAAGGAUAUGCUGCUCAAAUUGAAUUCAGACGGUCAGUCUGUGUCAAUGUGUCUGUCCACAAAGGACCAAGGGACUACAGUUAGGAGCCUGACAAUUUAAAUGAGAGGUGAGGUUGGUUACAAGUUCUAGUUCUUGACUAACACCCAACAU